GACGAACGCUGGCGGCGUGCUUAACACAUGCAAGUCGAACGGAAAGGCCCUGCUUUUGUGGUGUGCUCGAGUGGCGAACGGGUGAGUAGUACUUCGGUAAUCAGCCCCCGACUUUUGUAUAAUUUCCCGAGACUGGGGCUACUACCACAUAGGAGUUCCUGCUGCUUGCUUGGCGUUGGGAAGUUUGGGCGGUUGGGGUGGGACUCGCGGCUUGUCCGCUUGUUGGGUGGGUGGUGGCUUACCCAGGCAUUGCCUGGUAGCGGGCCUGGGCAGGUGACCGGCGACACUGGGCAUGAGAUAAGGCCAAGACGCCUACGGGAGGCAGGAGUGGGGAAUGUUGGACAGAGGGCGGAAGCCUGAUGCAGCAAUGCCGCGUGCGGGAUGAUGGCCCUCGGGCGGUAAGCCGCAUUGGCCUGUGACGAAGCGUGGGUGACGGUAAUGGGUAAAGAAGCGCCGGCUAACUACGUG
rnacentral:rRNA from 1 species